rnacentral:rRNA from 1 species
AAACAGGUGCUAAUACCGCAUAAGACCACGGAAUCACAUGAUUUUGAGGUAAAAGGAGCAAUCCGGUUUGGGGUGAGUUCGCGUCCGAUUAGCUAAUUGGCGAGGUAACGGCCCACCAAGGCGACGAUCGGUAGCCGACCUGAGAGGGUGAUCGGCCACAUUGGAACUGAGAGACGGUCCAAACUCCUACGGGAGGCAGCAGUGGGGAAUAUUGGGCAAUGGGCGAAAGCCUGACCCAGCAACGCCGCGUGAGGGAAGAAGGUUUUCGGAUUGUAAACCUCUGUCCUAAGGGACGAAGGAAGUGACGGUACCUUAGGAGGAAGCCCCGGCUAACUACGUGCCAGCAGCCGCGGUAAUACGUAGGGGGCGAGCGUUGUCCGGAAUGACUGGGCGUAAAGGGCGUGUAGGCGGCCGAUUAAGUGUGGAGUGAAAGUCCAUUUUUCAAGGAUGGAAUUGCUUUGCAGACUGGUUGGCUUGAGUGCGGAAGAGGUAAGUGGAAUUCCCAGUGUAGCGGUGAAAUGCGUAGAGAUUGGGAGGAACACCAGUGGCGAAGGCGACUUACUGGGCCGUAACUGACGCUGAGGCGCGAAAGCGUGGGGAGCGAACAGGAUUAGAUACCCUGGUAGUCCACGCUGUAAACGAUGAAUAAUAGUGGUUGCGGGUAUCGACCCCCGCAGGGCCGGAGUCAACACAAUAAGCAUUCCGCCUGGGGAGUACGGCCGCAAGGUUGAAAUUCAAAGGAAUAGACGGGGGCCCGCACAAGCAGCGGAGCAUGUUGUUUUAAUUAGAAGCAACGCGAAGAACCUUACCAUGUCUUGACAUCGAGGAAAAGCGCUAGAGAUAGCGUGUGCCUUCGGGCAUCCAAAGACAGGUGGUGCAUGGUUGUCGUCAGCUCGUGUCGUGAGAUGUUGGGUUAAGUCCCGCAACGAGCGCAACCCUUAUGGUCAGUUACUAACGCGUAGAGGCGAGGACUCUGACAAGACUGCCGGGGACAACUCGGAGGAAGGUGGGGACGACGUCAAAUCAUCAUGCCCCUUAUGACAUGGGCUACAAACGUGCUACAAUGGUGGCUACUAAGAGGAGCGAGCGUGUGAGCGUAAGCGGAUCUCAAAAAAGCCAUCUCAGUUCGGACUGUGGGCUGCAACCCGCCCACACGAAGUUGGAGUUGCUAGUAAUCGCGGAUCAGCAUGCCGCGGUGAAUACGUUCCCGGGCCUUGCACA